UUAAAAAGCUCGUAGUUGGAUCUCGGCGGACUGAGGGCGGUUUGCUUGCUAGUAUUACUGCCCUAUAGUCCGUAGUUUUGCCAGAGGUUUCGGGGUGCUCUUAAUCGAGUGUCCCGGGAUGCUGGCAGGUUUACUUUGAAAAAAUUAGAGUGCUCAAAGCAGGCUAUUACGCCUGAAUAUUCGUGCAUGGAAUAAUAGAAUAGGAAGUCGUUUCUAUUUUGUUGGUUUUCGGAAAUCGACUUAAUGAUUAAUAGGGACAGUCGGGGCAUCUGUAUUCAAACGACAGAGGUGAAAUUCUUGGACCGUUUGAAGACAAACUACUGCGAAAGCAUUUGCCAAGAAUGUUUUCAUUAAUCAAGAACGAAAGUUAAAGGUUCGAAGGCGAUUAGAUACCGCCCUAGUUUUAACCAUAAACGAUGCCAGCUAGCGAUCUGCGGACGUUUUUUUUGUAGACUCCGCAGGAAGCUUCCGGGAAACCAAAGCAUUUGGGUUCCAGGGGAAGUAUGGUUGCAAAGCUGAAACUUAAAGGAAUUGACGGAAAGGCACCCCCAGGAGUGGAGCCUGUGGCUUAAUUUGACUCA
rnacentral:rRNA from 1 species